rnacentral:rRNA from 3 species
AAAAAAGGUAAGCUACUAAGAGCGAAUGGUGGAUGCCUUGACUGGUAAAGGCGAUGAAGGACGUACUAGACUGCGAUAAGCUACGGGGAGCUGUCAAGAAGCUUUGAUCCGUAGAUUUCCGAAUGGGGCAACCCAAUGUAUAGAGAUAUACAUUACCUAUAUAGGAGCGAACGAGGGGAAUUGAAACAUCUUAGUACCCUCAGGAAAAGAAAUCAAUAGAGAUUGCGUCAGUAGCGGCGAGCGAAAGCGCAAGAGGGCAAACCCAGUGCUUGCACUGGGGGUUGUAGGACUGCAAUGUGCAAGAGGUAAGUUUAGCAGAACAUUCUGGAAAGUAUAACCAUAGAGGGUGAUAGUCCCGUAUGCGAAAAACAAACCUUAGCUAGCAGUAUCCUGAGUAGGGCGGGACACGAGGAAUCCUGUCUGAAUCCGGGUCGACCACGAUCCAACCCUAAAUACUAAUACCAGAUCGAUAGUGCACAAGUACCGUGAGGGAAAGGUGAAAAGAACUGAGGUGAUCAGAGUGAAAUAGAACCUGAAACCAUUUGCUUACAAUCAUUCAGAGCCCUAUGUAGCAAUACAGGGUGAUGGACUGCCUUUUGCAUAAUGAGCCUGCGAGUUGUGGUGUCUGGCAAGGUUAAGCAAACGCGAAGCCGUAGCGAAAGCGAGUCUGAAUAGGGCGCUUAGUCAGAUGCUGCAGACCCGAAACGAAGUGAUCUAUCCAUGAGCAAGUUGAAGCUAGUGUAAGAACUAGUGGAGGACUGAACCCAUAGGCGUUGAAAAGCCCCGGGAUGACUUGUGGAUAGGGGUGAAAGGCCAAUCAAACUUCGUGAUAGCUGGUUCUCUCCGAAAUAUAUUUAGGUAUAGCGUUGUGUCGUAAUAUAAGGGGGUAGAGCACUGAAUGGGCUAGGGCAUACACCAAUGUACCAAACCCUAUCAAACUCCGAAUACCUUAUAUGUAAUCACAGCAGUCAGGCGGCGAGUGAUAAAAUCCGUCGUCAAGAGGGAAACAACCCAGACUACCAGCUAAGGUCCCUAAAUCUUACUUAAGUGGAAAACGAUGUGAAGUUACUUAAACAACCAGGAGGUUGGCUUAGAAGCAGCCAUCCUUUAAAGAAAGCGUAAUAGCUCACUGGUCUAGUGAUUUUGCGCGGAAAAUAUAACGGGGCUAAAGUAAGUACCGAAGCUGUAGACUUGCACACAACUUAGAUUAUUUAAGUUUAGAAUAUGAGAAACUAAGUUAUAUGUUUAGUUAUAUUUUUACUGAUUUUUAUAGAGUAAAGAUAGAAAUAAAACUUAGUAAAAUCAGUAAAAAUAUUCUUAGACUAAAGUUAAGUAGUUUAAGUUGUGUGCAAGUGGUAGGAGAGCGUUCUAUUUGCGUCGAAGGUAUACCGGUAAGGAGUGCUGGAGCGAAUAGAAGUGAGCAUGCAGGCAUGAGUAGCGAUAAUUAAUGUGAGAAUCAUUAACGCCGUAAACCCAAGGUUUCCUACGCGAUGCUCGUCAUCGUAGGGUUAGUCGGGUCCUAAGUCGAGUCCGAAAGGGGUAGACGAUGGCAAAUUGGUUAAUAUUCCAAUACCAACAUUAGUGUGCGAUGGAAGGACGCUUAGGGCUAAGGGGGCUAGCGGAUGGAAGUGCUAGUCUAAGGUCGUAGGAGGUUGUACAGGCAAAUCCGUAUAACAAUACUCCGAGAACUGAAAGGCUUUUUGAAGUCUUCGGAUGGAUAGAAGAACCCCUGAUGCCGUCGAGCCAAGAAAAGUUUCUAAGUUUAGCUAAUGUUGCCCGUACCGUAAACCGACACAGGUGGGUGGGAUGAGUAUUCUAAGGCGCGUGGAAGAACUCUCUUUAAGGAACUCUGCAAAAUAGCACCGUAUCUUCGGUAUAAGGUGUGGUUAGCUUUGUAUUAGGAUUUACUCCGAAAGCAAGGAAACUUACAACAAAGAGUCCCUCCCGACUGUUUACCAAAAACACAGCACUCUGCUAACUCGUAAGAGGAUGUAUAGGGUGUGACGCCUGCCCGGUGCUCGAAGGUUAAUUGAUGGGGUUAGCAUUAGCGAAGCUCUUGAUCGAAGCCCGAGUAAACGGCGGCCGUAACUAUAACGGUCCUAAGGUAGCGAAAUUCCUUGUCGGUUAAAUACCGACCUGCAUGAAUGGCGUAACGAGAUGGGAGCUGUCUCAAAGAGGGAUCCAGUGAAAUUGUAGUGGAGGUGAAAAUUCCUCCUACCCGCGGCAAGACGGAAAGACCCCGUGGACCUUUACUACAGCUUGACACUGCUACUUGGAUAAGAAUGUGCAGGAUAGGUGGGAGGCUUUGAGUAUAUGACGCCAGUUGUAUAUGAGCCAUUGUUGAGAUACCACUCUUUCUUAUUUGGGUAGCUAACCAGCUUGAGUUAUCCUCAAGUGGGACAAUGUCUGGUGGGUAGUUUGACUGGGGCGGUCGCCUCCCAAAUAAUAACGGAGGCUUACAAAGGUUGGCUCAGAACGGUUGGAAAUCGUUCGUAGAGUAUAAAGGUAUAAGCCAGCUUAACUGCAAGACAUACAAGUCAAGCAGAGACGAAAGUCGGUCUUAGUGAUCCGGUGGUUCUGUGUGGAAGGGCCAUCGCUCAAAGGAUAAAAGGUACCCCGGGGAUAACAGGCUGAUCUCCCCCAAGAGCUCACAUCGACGGGGAGGUUUGGCACCUCGAUGUCGGCUCAUCGCAUCCUGGGGCUGGAGCAGGUCCCAAGGGUAUGGCUGUUCGCCAUUUAAAGCGGUACGCGAGCUGGGUUCAGAACGUCGUGAGACAGUUCGGUCCCUAUCUGCCGUGGGCGUAAGAAGAUUGAAGAGAUUUGACCCUAGUACGAGAGGACCGGGUUGAACAAACCACUGGUGUAGCUGUUGUUCUGCCAAGAGCAUCGCAGCGUAGCUAAGUUUGGAAAGGAUAAACGCUGAAAGCAUCUAAGCGUGAAGCCAACUCUAAGAUGAAUCUUCUCUAAGCUCUCUAGAAGACUACUAGUUUGAUAGGCUGGGUGUGUAAUGGAUGAAAGUCCUUUAGCUGACCAGUACUAAUAGAGCGUUUGGCUUAUCUUUAAUAAAGCAU